rnacentral:tRNA from 5 species
GGGGGGUUAGCUCAGCGGUUAGAGCGCUCGGCUUACAUCCGAGAGGUCAUAAGUUCAAAUCUUAUAUCCCCCACCA